UACGUAGGGGGCUAGCGUUGUCCGGAAUCAUUGGGCGUAAAGCGCGUGUAGGCGGUCCGGUAAGUCCGCUGUGAAAGUCGGGGGCUCAACCCUCGGAUGCCGGUGGAUACUGUCGGGCUUGAGUACGGAAGAGGCGAGUGGAAUUCCUGGUGUAGCGGUGAAAUGCGUAGAUAUCUGGAGGAACACCGGUGGCGAAGGCGGCAUCCUGGACCAAUAUUGACGGCUGAGGAGCGAAAGCCAGGGAGCAAAGCGGG
rnacentral:rRNA from 1 species